GGGGGCGUACUGGUUUCGACGGAGUUGUUGAGACUGGGGAAGCGGGUAGAGGAUCCUCGUUGGCCUCUUAAAAAAACGGGGAACUUUUAUAAUUGCCAAUAAACCGGCACUCGCAGCAGCUUAAACCUGUUGCCGUCAGCCCAUCCGAUCUGCUGGAUGGAUCCCUGGCGUCAGACAGCAGACCUUACACGUUAGCAGGUUAAACGUGGAAACGGAUCAGGUGAUGCCUGUAACCUGAUUCGUAUAACAGGCUACCGGACCGUCAGUAUGCGUUCGUUCAUGCGGCGAGAGGGGAAUACUCAAACAACGAACUGCACCCGGAGAUGCUCCAGAGGAUAGGAUUUCGGACAGGGGUUCGACUCCCCUCGCCUCCACCA
rnacentral:tmRNA from 1 species